CGGACGGGUGAGUAACGCGUGGGUAACCUGCCUUGUACUGGGGGACAACAGUUAGAAAUGACUGCUAAUACCGCAUAAGCGCACAGUAUCGCAUGAUACAGUGUGAAAAACUCCGGUGGUACAAGAUGGACUCGCGUCUGAUUAGCUAGUUGGUAAGGUAACGGCUUACCAAGGCGACGAUCAGUAGCCGACCUGAGAGGGUGACCGGCCACAUUGGGACUGAGACACGGCCCAA
rnacentral:rRNA from 1 species